AGCGCGAUGGUGCAAAGGUAACACAACAGGCUUUGAUCCUGUCGAUGUUGGUUCAAUCCCAACUCGCGCUG
rnacentral:tRNA from 1 species